rnacentral:rRNA from 1 species
GAUGAACGCUGGCGGCGUGCCUAAUACAUGCAAGUCGAGCGAACAGACGAGGAGCUUGCUCCUUUGACGUUAGCGGCGGACGGGUGAGUAACACGUAGGUAACCUACCUAUAAGACUGGGAUAACUUCGGGAAACCGGAGCUAAUACCGGAUAAUAUUUCGAACCGCAUGGUUCGAUAGUGAAAGAUGGCUUUGCUAUCACUUAUAGCUGGACCUCGGCCGUAUUAGCUAGUUGGUAAGGUAACGGCUUACCAAGGCAACGAUACGUAGCCGACCUGAGAGGGUGAUCGGCCACACUGGAACGGAGACACGGUCCAGACUCCUACGGGAGGCAGCAGUAGGGAAUCUUCCGCAAUGGGCGAAAGCCUGACGGAGCAACGCCGCGUGAGUGAUGAAGGUCUUCGGAUCGUAAAACUCUGUUAUUAGGGAAGAACAAACGUGUAAGUAACUGUGCACGUCUUGACGGUACCUAAUCAGAAAGCCACGGCUAACUACGUG